rnacentral:tRNA from 1 species
CAGCAUGUAGUUUAAUUAAAAUAUUAGUUUUGGAGACUAAAGUUAUAUUAUUAUUUUGCUGA